rnacentral:sRNA from 24 species
UAAUAUUACAGACAGAGAUGUACUGUAUACGCUUGGAAACUGAUACUUUGUAUUAAGCGUAUUUUUAAGUACGCCAGUCAAGUGGGAAAGCAGCUGAGAAAUCAGCUGUUUUUUUGUAUUUUC